GCGGGAGUCAAGUGGUGGUUCAGUGGGGACGGAAUGAUUAACAAAGGCGUCCGAAGAAAUCGUUGUUGGAAGGUGGCCAAAGUGGAAAGAGAGGUUGCUUUGGCCCUGCAAGUAAGAAGAGAGAAGGAAUAGCCUGAAGGAGUAACACUAAAUUUAAAAUGACACUUUUUUACCAACCAGCGAAAGCAGAUGUUCAAAGGGGAUAUUGGCCAGAGUCUGUCACACUAAGAUGAGAAAUAUCCUUUCUUCCUGAAGGUGUCUGAUGUGUAAAAAUACUGAUAUACUUUGUGCUGUUUCCUCCCUUCCCUUUUGCACAUUAUUCUGAAACAACAUUAACUAGUUACUUUGCGUCAUUGAAGGUAUGCACUUCCCCUCUACGUUAGGAGGGAAUAAAAUUAAAAAUAGAUCCUUAUAGCAAAGAAAGGCAGAUAGAAUGAUUAAAAAUGACCAAAACAUGUUAGAAACAG
rnacentral:lncRNA from 1 species